rnacentral:rRNA from 1 species
AGAAACGAAACAGUGAUGUGGAGUAAAACUUAGAAAAACGGUACUCAGUUCGGAUUGAAGGCUGAAAUUCGCCUUCAUGAAGCUGGAAUUGCUAGUAAUGGCAGGUCAGCAUACUGCCGUGAAUACGUUCCCGGGCCUUGUACACACCGCCCGUCACACCAUGAGAGUUGGAAAUACCCGAAGCCUGUGAGCUAACUUUUAGAGGCAGCAGUCGAAGGUAGAGCCAAUGAUUGGGGUGAAGUCGUAACAAGGUAGC